rnacentral:lncRNA from 1 species
UAGGAACCCUUGGGGUUCAAGGAGGUCUGUGCCACCAAAUUUGACUAAAACAAGGUUCUUAAAGGGAGCAGAGCUAAAGCAAGAUGGAAUUAUCUCUUAAUUAUUUUAGAACCCACCCCUCCAGUUUUACAGGAGUUUCCAGUUAGUCUGGGGGAUUGAUGGAAACACAGAAAGCCAUAUUCCUUGUGGGUCACAUGAAGCCGCUCCUAUUUUCUUGUUCAGUACAAAUACUAGACUGAAGGCAAGCGUGAGGGCCAGGAAGAGCACCGUCGUCUCUGUGUCCUUGCAUCGGGUAACUCUGUUUACAUUAAGUCUGUAAGCUUUGAGUGACAGCUCAGAUAGGAGCUUGGAGAACCGAGUCAACUCUGUUUCUCACGGCACAUGGUAGCUGUUUGUAAAUGCUUGACAUUCAGAGGGCCCGAGUUCCUCUGUUGUUUUUGAUCUCUGUCAUCAAAGAUGAAGUUGAAUAUUUUUUCAAGGCAGUCUGUACAAUAGCUUAGUGCCUCCUUCCAGAACAAAGGCAAGUGGUCACACCCAGAGUUGCUCCUUGCAGAGCCUCUGGGGUCCUGGAAUGUGUGUCCCCUGGACUCUGCCACAGUUGACUAGCUACAGUGACAGUUGCUACAGUCAGGGCUAUGUCCGUUAAUUAGGAACUUGAUAAUGAGGCUAACAAGAUUCAUCCGAAAGAGGCCAGGAAAAUGAAAAGGCUGUGCUUGUGUGCUGGAACUAUGAAUAGAGAAAGAAUCGGUGUCAUUUGGAUUAUUUUUUAAGACAUUGAAAUGUUACAUCUUAUGCUGUGCUUUCUUGUUUAAUGAGAAGUUUUAUAAAAAAAAACCAACAACCUUAUUCUAUAUAUUUUGGCUCAAAUAAUCUUAUAUUUGUGGGAAUUUAAAACUCAGUAUAGGUUUUAUUGCUUCCUUUCCAUGCAUAAACGAAGAGUAGACACACUCUCUUACUUUUCUGCUACCUUUACGUUCAGUCUGUGUGUCUUAGCCAGGCAGUAUUCAGUUGAAUUCUAUGGAACCAAUGUAAUGACAUAUUUCUUCUCUCAAUAGGAAAAAAAAAACCCACUAGAUUCUUUAAGAAAAAAAAAAAGUUCCCACGGAAGUUAUUGUUCAAAUGAAAGAGAACUGCUUCUUUAGAUUUGAAUAGACAUUUUUGUCUGAUGAAGAACUACUAAAUACAUGCUCAAUGUGCCUAGGAAUUAGGGAAGUACUAAUUAAGAACAUGCUAUGACAGUGCCAUAACACAAGACGAUGACGAUACUCACAACACCAAAUCUUCCUGAGACUGGGACGUGCUAGACUUUUUCACAGCGAGGUUGCAAU